rnacentral:rRNA from 1 species
UGGGGAAUCUUGCGCAAUGGGCGAAAGCCUGACGCAGCGACGCCGCGUGGGUGAUGAAGGCCUUCGGGUUGUAAAGCCCUGUGGGGAGAGACGAACCGGCUCGGGGUGAACAUCCUCGGGUCUUGACGGUAUCUUCUUAGCAAGCAUCGGCUAACUCUGUGCCAGCAGCCGCGGUAAGACAGAGGAUGCAAACGUUGCUCGGAAUUACUGGGCGUAAAGCGCGCGCAGGUGGUUCUGUAAGUCGGGUGUGAAAGCCCGGGGCUCAACCCCGGAAGUGCACUCGAUACUGCAAAACUUGAGUACUGAAGAGGAUCGCGGAAUUCCCGGUGUAGAGGUGAAAUUCGUAGAUAUCGGGAGGAACACCAGUGGCGAAGGCGGCGAUCUGGGCAGAUACUGACAC